UGGGGAAUUUUGCACAAUGGGGGAAACCCUGAUGCAGCGACGCCGCGUGAUUUAGAAGGCCUUCGGGUUGUAACAAUCUUUUGUAUGGGAAGAAAAUGACAGUACCAUACGAAUAAGGACCGGCUAAUUACGUGCCAGCAGCCGCGGUAAUACGUAAGGUCCGAGCGUUGUCCGGAAUCAUUGGGCGUAAAGGGUACGUAGGCGGAUAAGCAAGUUAGAAGUGAAAUCCUAUAGCUCAACUAUAGUAAGCUUUUAAAACUGCUCAUCUUGAGGUAUGGAAGGGAAAGUGGAAUUCCUAGUGUAGCGGUGAAAUGCGCAGAUAUUAGGAGGAAUACCGGUGGCGAAGGCGACUUUCUGGCCAUAAACUGACGCUGAGGUACGAAAGCGUGGGGAGCAAACAGG
rnacentral:rRNA from 1 species